UCUAAGCACAGUGGUGCGGCAGCACGGACGGACGGCAGGAGUUCCUAACAGUCAGCAGCACUCAGCGGCCGUCACGGAUCGGAAAUAAGCAGGCUGCAAAGGUAGCAGAUAUUGGUGGUUCUUCACUGGAUGAUGCUACGAGGAGGAUGAUGAGAUUCCGGAUUUCAAAUGAAUUGGCGAUCCAGUACAAUCUCUUUGGCCGUCAUGGCAAAAAAAGAUUUUCGUCUUUGACGUCAUAUGUGGUGGACUGAAGAAGAACACAAUGACUGUGAACCAGAAAGACUCUCAAAAAAAGGGACUCUCAAAAUGGUUCACGGGGGCUAGAAACAGGGGCGGAAAGAGAGCAAUCAGGUCACAGCAGUCUUCAGGACUGUGAUCAGUUUUGUGUGUCCAUCCAUACAAAUUGUUGAGACCAAGUAUUUUAAUACUGUAUUGUAAGUUGAACAGUUUUUGUGUUUUAUGUAGUCGUUGAAGUGUUUAAAAGGGAUUGUUCACCCAAAAUAUAAAAAUCUUUUCUCUCUCUUCUAUUGAUUUAAACCAGUGGUGUCAAACUGAUUCUUGAGGGCAGAACUUGGCUCCAACCCUAAUUAAAAGUACCUGAUCCAGCUAAACAAACCCUUCAGGAUUAUUUUAAAACUAGAUGUAAUGUGUGUUGGAACAGGGUUGUAACUAAAAUACGCAGGGCUGUGGCCCUCCAGGGGUCUGACAUUGCUGCUUUAAACCCCAUAAGCCUUUCAUUCAUCUUUGAAACACAAGUGAUGUUAUUAAUUAAAUUAAGAUAUUUCUGUCUCUCCAUAUAAAGUCUAGUAUAUAUAUAUUAGUACAGAACAGACCAAAAGUUUGGACACACCUUCUCAUUCAAAGAGUUUUCUUUGUUUUCAUGACUAGGAAAAUUGUAGAUUCAUACUGAAGGCAUCAAAACUAUGAAUUAACACAUGUGGAAUUGUAUACAUAACAAAAAAGUGUGAAACAAAUGAAAAUAUGUCAUAUUGUAGGUUCUUCAAAGUAGCCACCUUUUGCUUUGAUUACUGCUUUGCACACUCUUGGCAUUCUCUUGAUGAGCUUCAAGAGGUAGUCACCUGAAAUGGUCUUCAACAGUCUUGAAGGAGUUCCCCGAGAGAUGCUUAGCACUUGUUGGCCCUUUUGCCUUCUGUCUGCGGUCCAGCUCACCCCUAAACCAUCUCGAUUGGGUUCAGGUCCGGUGACUGGAGGCCAGGUCAUCAUCACUCUCCUUCUUGCUCAAAUAGCCCUUGAUGCUCUCAGUGUGACUCUACAAUCUUCAUAGUCAUGAAAAUAAAGAAAACUCUUUAAAUAAGAAGGUGUGUCCAAACUUUUGCUCUGUACUGUGUGUGUAUAUAUAUGUGUGUGUAUUUAUGUGUAUAUAUAUAAUAUGUAUGUAUAUGUUUUUUUUUUGUUUUUUUUUUAUGUUACAUACGUUUGGUUAUGUAAAACCAGCUGUCGGGAUAGUAUCACCUUGUUUUAAAAUAAACUGGUAAUUUUGGUGUUUAACACUUGGUUUUAAUUUUGGUGUAGAAAAACUUAUAUUGAAAAUGUCUAAAUUAUAAUAAAGUGCUUGAUAUACUGAACUUUUAAAUUGCACCUUUAAUAUAAUUUUAUUUAUUUUUUGUAGAUGAAUGACCAGUGGAAUAGUCAAGAAGAUGUAUGAUUAUGAAUUUUGCCCAGUUUAGCCCCACUUAGGUUCUUUAUGACAUUUAUAUGGGCUAAUUCAUACAGGGCCCACAUGGAACCCAUGGACAAACCCAUCUGGGCCCCAUGUUUAAAGUCAUAUAGGGCUCACAUUGGCCCCACAGCUGUUGUGUUGCCUGGGUCAUAUGUGGGACAAAUAUGGGUCUUAUAUGUGUUGCCCAGUUGGGCCCCACAUUAGCCCCAGUCAGGCCCUACCUUUAUUUUGUUGUAUGGGUCAUAAGUGGGACCAAUAUGGGUCUUAUAUGUGUUGCCCAUUUGGGCCCCACAUUAGCCCCAGUUAGGCCCCAGUUGGGAUUCAUAUGGGUUAAUUCAGAUAGGGCCCACAUGGAACCCAUGGACAAACCCAUGUAGGCCCCAUAUUUACAGCCCAUAUGGGGCCCACAUGGGCCCCACGAUAGAAUGUUGGCUG